AUAGAGGGAGAUACGUAGAGUCAACACCAAUAGGUUAUAGAGGGAGAUAUGUAGAGUCAACACCACUCUGACAUCAAUAGGUUAUAGAGGGAGAUACGUAGAGUCAACACCACUCUGACACCAAUAGGUUAUAGAGGGAGAUAUGUAG